UUUUCGCACGUGUUCCACAUUAUUCCACCACGUUAUGUAUUCCUGUAUCAUUAUACUACCAAAAGGAAUGUUAAAACGAAAUUUGAAACUGAAAUGGCUGCAACGGUACAUUUAUUUUACAGUAUUCUUGAAAUAUUAUUCGCUACUUAGCAUAAGUCAUAAAAAAGGUUAGAAUAAAAUCAAGUUGUCUGCAUUGUUAGCACUAUUUAUAAUCCAGUAAUAUCCUGGACAAGUCGUGUAAGCUUGAACCAUUUUUAAGUUUUAAAUAUAACCAUGUCGAAAAUACUGGAAAAUAAGAAUGCGCUUGGUGUGAAUUCAACAAAAUACUACGUUAUACAGUUCAUUGGAAUGCUUGAGGAAUGCGGAUUACGAUACGUUCCAAGUCGUUGGGUAAAAUGUCGUAAUCCUGAAUAUAUAGUAACUUUAUAUCCACCAAGGGGUGAAAUAAUAACGGAAAAUUAUAUUUGUAGUAACGAACAACCGUUAUCACAUUGGAAGCCAUAUUUAGGAAUAAUAAUGUAUGAAACAGAUAUUUUUGAACAGGGAAUGCUCUAUAUAAUUUACUACAAUUUCUGCUGUCGAACGAACCUGUAUUAGUGAUAUCGCAUUCACCAACGAUAUCAGCCACGUAUGCUGUAAAAAAUAUUGAAACAAUGACGUAAAACUAUAAGAAAUUUAGGUACAAGUUAAAUAUUAAUCAUUUUAAUGUUCACUAUUAUGUCUUAAGUAACAUUAAAACUUCGCACAUAAUUUUUCGUUUUAUUUUACUGACCUUAACAUUAUUAACAUGCUUCGUUCUACUGACACUGCGUAGUUAGAAAAACAUCUCGCAUUAUAAAUGUCAGUACUGAUAGAGAAUAGUCACUCAGUUAAAAAUGUCAAAGGAAGAAUAUUGUCAAAGAAAAAACGGUAUAAUUUCCAAAUAUUUUUCUAUUUGAUUUUCUUUCUGUGCUACAUCUAAAUUACUUUUUAUAAAUAGCUUUAAACUUUAUCAGAAAGCAAUAGAGGGAGUGCAUUGGUCUCUUCCAAACACAGAGAUAAAAAUAAUUUAAUAUAAAUAGGAGUGUUCUGGAAAUAUGUACUCACUGUGAGCUCCAGUCCCUAACGCAGUGAACGUAUUAAGUCGCGAUAGUAUUGCAAGAUAUCAGCCAAUAACACUGAAGCAUAAUAGAAGUAUGAAGAUAAUGUAAUCAAUCGUAUAAAGGAACAGAAACUAUUCAGUUCUUCUUCACCAACAAAUCAGUACUGAUUUUUAGAUGUAUGGAUAGUUUUGUGGACCAGUACAUACUAAGGCGCCAGAUAGAAACAAUGCAGACUUAUCGAUAUCACGUGGCGAAAUUGGCGGAAACGCAUUAUGAUAAUCUCGAUAGAUAUGUAUGCGUGCCAAAUUUUUGGAUAAGACGGCGUAGAAAAACAAACCAAAGAGUUGCCGUUGCU